UACGUAGGGGGCAAGCGUUGUCCGGAUUCAUUGGGCGUAAAGAGCGUGUAGGCGGCCAUGUAGGUCCGGUGUGAAAACUCGAGGCUUAACCUCGAGAUGUCAUCGGAAACCAUUUGGCUAGAGUCCGGAAGAGGAGAGUGGAAUUCCUGGUGUAGCGGUGAAAUGCGCAGAUAUCAGGAAGAACACCAAUGGCGAAAGCAGCUCGCUGGGACGGUACUGACGCUGAGACGCGAAAGCGUGGGGAGCGAACAGG
rnacentral:rRNA from 1 species